ensembl:lncRNA uncharacterized protein PB18E9.04c-like
AUGUCUGCUGUGGACAGACCAGGAGCCACGCAGCCUCGGUGGGACAGACCUUCCAGGAAUCCUCUGGGACUCGUGGCUGGAAGCAGGCGUCCCCUCAGCACAUGCACCUGGCUCCCUGACGGCCCCCGCUCCGCUCAGCGCACGCACAGGAGUCCCGUUUAUGUGUCCUUUGUCAGCAAGGCCAUCCUGUGGGACAGAGGACUCUGUCACUACCCUGCUCACGUUCAUCCCACCGAUCGCACCUCACUGUGUCCACGCUUCUUAUCCCACAUGAAGGCUUGUCCAGGAGACUUCAGGCCUCCUUGUUUCCUCAGCUCCACGUUAAGGCCACAGCCUCCACCUCAGGGGACGACGACACACAUCCUCCUGGCACCAAAGACCCAAACGCUGGAGGGGUGCUUCCAUUUCGAUCCAGAGAGAAGAGGUCGUGCAGUUCACAGCGCUCGCGUCAACGUAGGGCGACGCGCUGCUGUCGCUCCUCCCCGUCCUCCGCUCCCUGCGACACCGCCUCCAUCCAGCAGCAGCAGCAGCAGCAGCCCAACGCCUCCCCGCCAGCGCAGCCUCCGCGCCCACUCUGGGCGACAGCAGAGCGGGUCCAGCACGGCGCCACCGUCCCCUCCUGGGCCUCGUCUCCCUUCAGAGGAUAAACACGAGUCACCGGAGAAGGAGCGAGCGCCUCAGCCAGCGGUGGUGUCCAUCGCAGAGUCCGCAGAGCGGGACGGGCCGCUGAACCUUGGGCCGGCUGGACCCGUGCGCUCAGAGACACCGGCCUCUGCUGUGUCACACGGCUCCCUCUCAGACUGGAGUCGCCCUCCCUCCAGCCUUUUCAGUCGGAGCACUGACCUCUCCAGUGGCAGGAGCAGUGUCCUGUCGGCAGGUGUGACGGACACAGACCCUGAAGGCAGCGUUUGCCUCUCUCCCCUCCACCUGUCGUCAGUGAUGGAGCUACCUCUGUCUGCCUCUCCAGCUGGACCCACCCCUCACGGGUCCACAACAAGCACCACCACCCAUCCACCCUAUGAGCCGGACUCACGUCAAACCAAGGCCUUCUCGCCUCGCCCAACUUCAAGCAUCCAGUCACAUUCACAUAAACCCCUGAGCAGCAGCAGAAGCUCAAAACCAGCAGAGAAGCUCCCCCACGAUGCGUCCACAGAUCCCGCUCUCAACCUGUCUCUGCCCUCUGACCAUGGCCUUGUCACACUGACUUUCACCCCCACCACCUGGUCGUCCUGCCCAAGUCCACAAAGGAGCACUCCCCCUUCCCCUCCCCUGAGUGGCCUGGAGUCUCAGCGUUGGCCCGUGCUGCCGCCCAUCUCUCCAGUCAGAGGACGCUGCGGCACAGCAGCAUCACGCUACUCUGAACUAAGCUGCACGCAGUCUCACGUGUUCGAUGAACUGGAGGCCAUCGCUCCCCUGUCCACUUCCUGUCUGUCGCUAGACGAGGCCUCAGACUCAUCGGGCACGUCUUCACCUGACUCAGCGCUGUCUCCGGGCCUGGCGGCGCUGACCGUGGGCUGCGACUCAGGGAACCUGGGUUCACUGUCCCGGGUUCAGCUGCUCCUGCUGGACAGAGCAGAGCCUGAGACCCUGCAGAGCGCCGGCAGCUUUGAGGAGAACUGGGACGAGCUUAGCUGGAGUUCGGCAGGUGUUUUGAGGCCUCGCACAUCUGGCAGCAUCUCUGAAAGGUGCGACUCUGCGGGGAAAGUCCAGGAGGCCAGAUCGGAUGCAUCUGAAGGAGGCUCAUGGUCAUCGUCCUCCUGGAUCAUAGACCCGACUCAUACGUCAGCAUGUUCCCCCUGCCCGUCUCAUCAUGACUCCUGCCUAGAUGACGGAGGUCAUGACGAUGAGUCCGAUCAUCCAGGGUGGAGGGACGACACUGGGAGAAGUGAGGAGCGGGACACAAAGAUGGAGGAGAGGAAGACAAAGGUGAUGCACUUGCUGUCCAAGCUGCAGGACACGACUCCACGGAAGAGAAACAGCCCCAGAGGCCCCUCCGACUUCGAGGACUUUGACUUUUUGGCCAAGUACUGUAUCUUCAGUCAGGAGAAGCUGGCUGAGUACAAACGAGCUUUUGAAGCAGAGGACAGUGAUGGUGACGGCUACAUUUCCUGCCUCCAGGUCUUGCUCGCUCUUAAGAACAUCAUCCCUCCGGAGCUCCUGAGCGAUGAAGAAGAGAUAUACGUCUACAGGAUCCUGGAGAUGGUGGACUUCAGAGUGACAGAUGGACUGGUUGACCUGAGGCUCUUCGCUGUGAUCGCCAGUCUGGCACAGAAGAUCGCCACCAUGGAUGAGUUUAUGCGGUCGCUCAUCAGCAACAUGGACUUUCGCUCUCUGGAAGUGAGGCUCUUCAAAGCCAAGAAAUGA